AUGAUGCAUCGACAUGUGGAAUUUUUCGGCAGUGGAUACUGUGCUCCAGAAUACGAGAACUGUGGGAAGAUGUCAAAAAAGGUUGACAUGUAUAGCUUGGGAGUUAUAAUCAUUGAACUCGUAACAGGACGUAAGGGUGAUCCAAAUAAGACUAAUGUGCUUCGAAGGUGGAGACACAGGUGGAACAAUUCACCAAUGCAUUCACUACGUUCACAAUGCCAGCAAGUAACUAGAUGCUUGGAUAUAGGGGCACGCUGCAGGAAAAAAGAACCAGAAGAUAGACCUUCUAUAUCAGCUAUAAUCGAUAUUCUCAGCAACAGUGAAAGCAUGGAUGAGCACAUUGAUCAGAUCAGCCUUUGCAUGGAUGAUGACAUGCUUGGAAUCAACCCGCUCGAACUAAGGUUUCCCUUCGAGCUUCAAAAGCAGAUGUCAUCCAUGGUAAUGCUAAUCAACAAGACAAAGAAUUACUAUGCUUUCAAUAUCGAAACGCCAGGCAAGCAGUACCGUACAGAACCAAACAAAGGCAUUCUGUCACCACAAUCCGAGGAUACUAUCCAGAUAACACUGGAAAUACAAGAGACUACACCGCACGAUCUGCCGUACUCCGACAAUUUUAUAGUGCAAAGCACAAAAGUCAAUGGGGAUUUUAGGGCCGAGGAUAUCACCAAAUACAUGUUCCAAAAAGAGCCAGUUGAAGUGGAUGAGGUAAAUUUGACGGUUGUAGUAUAUGAGAAUGAGGGACCUAAGGAAGAUCUCAAGAUUCGUGAAGAUACCAAGAAGAAACAAAAAUCGAUGAUUGAAUCUGCUUUGAGCACGGACAAACCUGGCGUUAACACAACUCACGAAGCAGAGGCCAUUCACAUGGAGAUAAAUUCUAUCAGCUACAAAUAUGCACGAGGACAAUGUAUCAAGCAACCAGAGCGUCUUAGUUUCCUCACAACUCCUAGACUUUUGUGUAAUCAGCAGACCAACAUGAGCGACAGAGCCGUGGAUCUUGUAACUGGGGCCAUGGGCAGCCUACACCAUAAGCUUGACGAUCUCCUCAAGGAAGAGUACAAUCUAGAGAAAAGCAUGAAGGGAGAAAUAGAUUUUCUAUCAGAAGAGCUGAGGGAUAUGCAGCUAGCCAUCCGGAAGGUGUCGGGGGUACAUCGGCACAACCUUGACGAUGAUGUCAUGCACUGGGUUGACACUGUCAGGGAGAUGUCAUAUGACAUUGAGGAUGUUGUUGAUGGUUUCCUGGUACACGAUGAGCCUCCAUCUAACACAAGCUUCUUCAGGGGGCUCAUUGAGAACAUGUUCAACCACUUCAAGUGGGGCAAGACUCACAAUCCAAUUGAAGAUGCUGUCAAAGAUAUCAAGAAACAAGUUGAGGUUGUGGCUGAAAGACGUAAAAGGUGGAAGGUUGAUGAAACAAUGGCUAAUGUAGCUUCCAAAAUUACCAUCGACCCUCGCAUUUCGGCUAUAUACAAAGAUCAGAAAGAACUUGUUGGCAUCAAAGAGCCAAGUAAUGUGCUAAUUCAGUGGCUUUCUGAUAAGGAUGGGGCUAUGGACGUGUCAAAACAGCAACUCAAGAUAGUCUCUAUCGUUGGAUUUGCAGGAUUGGGCAAGACAACACUUGCCAAGGCGGUGUAUAACCAGCUUCAAUCCCAGUUUGGUCCUAAGGCUUUUGUUCCAGUGGGUCGUAAUCCUAAUUUGAAAAAUGUUUUUGAGGCAAUUCUCCAUGGACUUAGCAAAGAAUCGAAUGCAGAAAACUUAAACGAAAUGCAGCUCAUCAACAAAAUCCGAGGAUUGCUCAAGAACAUGAGCUAUGCCCCAUCAACCUUUGACAAAAUCCGAGGAUUGUUUAAAUUACAGUACUUAAUUAAUUAA
rnacentral:rRNA from 1 species